GACGAACACUGGCGGCGUGCUUAACACAUGCAAGUCGAACGGAAAGGCCCUGCUUUCGUGCGGUGCUCGAGUGGCGAACGGGGGAGUAACACGUGAGUAACCUGACCUUGACUUUGGGAUAACUUCACGAAACUGGGGCUACUACCGGAUAGCAUCCCCUGCUGCAUGGAGGGGGUUGGAACGUCUCGGCUGUUGGGGAUGGAUGCGCGGCUAAUCAGCUUGCUGGUGGGGGAGGGGUUGACCAAGGCUUUGACGGGUAGGCGGCCUGGGAGGGGGACCGGCCUCCAGGCGCCUGCGGGAGGCACCAGUCUCCUACGGUAGGCAGCAGUGGCGAACAUUGCACAGUGGGCCGAAGCGUGAUGCAGCAGCGCCGCGGUCGUGAUGCCGGCCUGCGGGUUGUAAACCGCUGUCGCCUGUGACGAAGCGUGAGUGACGGUAACCGGUAAAGAAGCACCGGCUAACUACGUG
rnacentral:rRNA from 1 species